CCCGUCAGCCAGGCGGAUUUAGAGGGACGAGGCACUGCGCAGGGUGCCAGCGGCAGGGAAACACGGGGAUCAAAGGGCUGGAAGAAGUUCAGAGCGGCAGCCACCGCUGCAGGGCCGUGCCCACCUCCCCCCGGGGCUCCGCGGGGCUCUCCCGUCCCGGCCGUUCAGAGCUCGGGAGGGAGCGGCGGUGCCUUUCCCGCGGCCGCACCGGGAUCCAGCGCCUCUCGCCGCGUCCCAUCCCCGUUCCAGGCAACCACAGACAGGAAGGCUCCUUCCAGGCAGUUCUUGAAGAGGUUUUGCAGUUUGCUUCAAAUCCCAGAAGCAUAUCUUUGCUGCUGGAAGAAAAUACAGGCUAAGAAGCUCGUGGUACCAACCUGGUCUAGGGGAAGGUGUUCCCGCCCAUGGCAGAGCGUUGGAAGGGAGGUGAUCAUUAAAAUCCCCUCCAAACAAAACCGUUCAGUGACU